UCCGGCAAUAAAUCCCGACGGGCCGCCGUCAGGUGCCGGCUGGGGGUUGUCAGUGCGCCAGGUGGGGCCCGGACAGUCGGCGCGCCAGGAGAGCUAUGCCAUUUUUGGGCCAGGACUGGAGAUCUCCUGGAUGGAGCUGGAUUAAAACAGAAGACGGCUGGAAAAGAUGUGAACCCUGGAGUGAGGGACUUGAAGGAGAGAAUAACCGGUGUGGCGCCAGCCACGGCACUAUCUUAAAUAGUGAAGAUGAAGAAAUAUUCAAUAAUGAAGAGCAUGAAUAUGCAUCCAAAAAAAGGAAAAAGGACCAUUUUAGAAAUGACAAAAAUACUCAGUGUUUUUAUCGUGAAAAAUGGAUCUAUGUCCAUAAAGAAAGCACAAGAGAAAGACACGGCUACUGCACUUUGGGAGAAGCUUUUAACCGCUUAGACUUCUUCAGUGCGGUCCAGGACGCCCGGAGGUUCACUUACGUGGCCAGACUGUUGCAGCUGAUCGCAAAGUCCCAGCUGACCUCGCUGAGCGGUGUGGCCCAGAAGAACUACUUCAACGUUCUGGAUAAAAUCGUUCGAAAAGUUCUCGAUGACCACCAAAACCCUCGCCUAAUCAAAGAUCUUCUCCAAGACCUAAGCUCUACCCUUUGCAUUCUAAUUAGAGGAGUGGGGAAGUCCGUUCUGGUGGGAAAUAUCAACAUUUGGGUUUGCCGGUUAGAAACUAUUCUCAACUGGCAACAGCAGCUGCAGAAUCUUCAGAUGACUGAGCAGGUGGACAGCGGCCUGACGCUCAGCGACCUUCCCGUGCACAUGCUCAGCAACAUCCUGUACAGGUUCUCGGAUGGGUGGGACAUCGUCACUCUGGGUCAGGUGACCCCGACGCUGUCCGCGCUUAGCGAGGACCGGCGGCUGUGGAAGAAGCUCUGCCAGUACCACUUCGGCGAGAAGCAGUUUUGUAGACACUUGAUCCUUUCAGAAAAAGGUCAUAUCGAAUGGAAGUUGAUGUAUUUUGCGCUUCAGAAACAUUACCCCACUAAGGAACAGUACGGAGACACACUGCACUUUUGUCGGCACUGCAGCAUCCUCUUUUGGAAGUCACAGGGAUAGAAACGCACACGCGGGCAGGUGCCCGUGGAAAACGCGUGCGGAGGCGUCUUCACGGCCGAGUCAGAGCAAUGAGACCGUCUGGUUGCUGCUGUGAACUGGUGCUCCUCCCCGGGGUUUUCUGUUCUGCGCAGACUGCUUUCUUCCAGAGAGAGACCAGGAGCAGUGGUGUUUCCUCCUGGGGCGCAAGUCUCCGCCCUUGCACGUGAUGGGCGUUUCUCUAAGAGUGCCGUUGCAGAGUGUGGGAGCCCUGUCUCUGAAGUAGUGAACAGAGAAGCACCCUCCUCAGUCUCCCUGCUGCUGGUGCAAGAAUGUGCUGCUGAGGCCUCGAGAAGCACGGAAGUUCUGGAUUUUUUAAAAUUGAGAGGUGAUUUUGUAGGUUUCCAGAAGAAUUGGUCUGCAGAUUCUUCUGUUUAUGAAAAUUCAGAACAAGUGUCUCCUGCUGGUCUUUUGGCUUUGAAAUGUUCAGUCUUGCCUUGAAGGCUGAGCACCUCGAUGUCGGUGCAGCCUCAGGCCUCAGGGCCUGGCUCGGUCCACCCAUGGGGUCACAUUGCAGCUUUUUCUCCUAGAGGCCCUUCCAACUUUAUUCUGAAUCUGUGGGUGGAAAUUUAAAAAAAAAACACAACGAUGAGUCUCUGGAAUUUCUGGUGGAAACUGCUUGCAGUGUCAGCUCCCGAGGAAGGCCCCCUGCGUUGCCCCAGCUGACCGGACUCUCCCCCCGGCUCGUCGCGCACCAUCCUGCGGCCUCACCCCAGUUCCCAGCCUCGUGGAGCCUCCUGUCCUCGUGGAGCCUCUGUGGGGCAGACCUGCCGCGUGGAGUCGUGAAGGUUAAGCAGUGCCCUGCCCUGCACGGGGCUGGUGCUCGGAAGUGGCCCCUGCGCUGUGACUCACCUUUGCCAGCACUUUCUGCUGAUGGGGAGACAGCAGCGUGACACCGUCAGAUGCCACCGGGUGCUGGUAGGGACCCGCCAUGGUCCGGCUCCCGCAUGCUGCCAGACUCGUCCUCUUCCGCCCACGUGGGCCUGGGCUCUGACCUCUCAGCUGCCCCAGCCAUCCUGUCUGUUCUGGCUUCACUCUCUGGAGUCUGGGGGUUAGUUUUCUACCUGCCUUUGUGGGAACUCCUCCAAAGUGAAAGGAGGGGAAAUACUGGGCUUAAGAACUGAGCACGACGGUCUUGGAGUCACUGAGCCGAGUCACCCAGGCGAGCGCAGGUGCCCGGCUCGGGGUCUGUCUGGCUUCCGUGGGGCGGCCCUCCCGGGUCGCUGAGUAGUGACGCGAGACCACUGUGUUCCUUCCGCCUGACUGUCCUCCAGCCGAGUUUCUCGACUUCAUGGAACUUCGGUCAACACUGGGGGUUGGGUGAGUUGGAAGCCGGACAGAAUGAGUCCAGUUAAAGGCUGGGAAUCAGGACCCCGCGUUCUUUUUUGUCUCAGCGUGUCCACUGCCAGGUCCACACUGCGGGUCUGGCCGGAGCAGGGAGGCUGCUGGCCCCAGCCCGCGCUGAUGGCCAGCCCCCGUCUCCAGCGAGGGUGGGGAAGCCGGGCCAGGUGGCCGGGCCAGCAAGAGGCGAGAGCGGCAGGUUGGUGCUGACCUCGAGCUGAAAACCACGGAUGAGCGGGGGGAGUCCGCGCAGGAGCCGCGCUCCGGGGCGCCGGGGCUCAGGUGGGGUCUGGUUCGUGCACUUGAUUCCACGGAGUUGACUCUCAGACAGUAAAGAGGGAGUGAGGGAGCUUCCGAGAAACCUGCCGUAAAUAUUUGCGGUGUAAACCGUGUGUGUCAGUGUCGCUCUGCGCACUUUCAGUGAACAGUUUCGACGAUUAUUUAGCUCUGCAGCCUCAUCAGUUGUCAGUCCGAGACUCGAGGAAGUGGAAACUGUGGCAGUGUCCCAGAUGGCCUGCGGGUGCUGUGGCCCUUCAGGUGCCGGACGGUGCCUCUGAUUCAGCUACCCGAUGAUUUUAGCCAUUUUCGACUCGGGCCACCCCUGCACGGCCACCGACCCC